rnacentral:rRNA from 1 species
AAAACAUUUUUUACCGAAAUAUUUGUAAGUACCGCCUGCUCAAUGAAUUUUCAAUAGCCGCGGAAAUUUAACCGUGCUAAGGUAGCAUAAUCAUUAGCCUCUUAAUUAGAGGCUCGUAUGAAGGGCAAAACAUUUUAAUUUCUUUAUUUAUUUAUUUUUUUUUAAAUUGAGCUAAGAAUAAAAACGUUCUUAUUUUGUAAACAGACGACAAGACCCUUUUGAACUUUACUUUAGUUUGGCUGGGGCAGCCAUUAAAUAACUAUCUUUUAUAUAUACUUUUAUUAAAUAGACCGAUUAAAAUUCAUCAAAUGAACAAGUUACCAUAGGGAUAACAGCGUAAUAUCUUUUUAAAGUUCUUAUUAAAAAAGAAGUUUGCGACCUCGAUGUUGAAUUAAUAUAGCUUACUAGUGCAAUAACCUAAAAAGUAGGUCUGUUCGACCUUUAAAAUAUUACAUGAUCUG